rnacentral:tRNA from 1 species
AAAUCUUUAGUUUAUAUGAAUUUUUUGUUUACAACAAGAAGGAGAAGAGAUUUU